GAGUUAAUUUAACUCCAUAAACA
rnacentral:tRNA from 1 species